CUGAUUUUGUUUGAAUCCUCUCCUUUGCUUUAUUGUUCAGUCUCAGUUCAUGCCCUGUAUUAAUUCAUGACUUCCUUGAAUUGGGGUCUAUUUCCAACGAUCUCUAUAUUCCAAUUCCAGACAACUUUUACACUGAUCUGUGCAAAACUGGUGUGUUUUGAGUCUCUGAGACAUUCUUCUCCAGCUUCCAGUUAGCAGCACUAGAUUAGUCCAUUUCUCUCACCUUGAGACCACAAUCGAAGUACUGGCUAUGAAGGCUCGGCUGGAGGAAAAUGCUCUUUCAACCUCACUCCUGUGGCUGUUGGUAGGCUCAGAUUGCACAACUCAAGGAACAAGCCUUUAAGAGAGGUAAUAAAACCACCACCAAAUGGAAGAAAUUAGCUACUUGAUGAUCAUGAACACAUAGCUCCCAGACCUUCUGGAGCCUAAGGAUUGAUAAUAUUACCCUCUGUGACUCCACCCAGUUGCCUCACCAUCAACCAAUCAGAGAAUUGUGCACAAGCUGAUCACACACCCUGGGACCCCCUCCAUCACCUUGCCUUUAAAAAUGUCUUGCUGAAACCCAUCAAGAAGUUCAGGAGUUUUGAGAACUAGCUAUUGGACUCCUUGCUUGGCUCCC